rnacentral:rRNA from 1 species
UGCAAGUCGAACGAUGAUGCCCAGCUUGCUGGGCGGAUUAGUGGCGAACGGGUGAGUAAUACGUGAGUAACCUGCCCUUGACUCUGGGAUAAGCCUGGGAAACUGGGUCUAAUACUGGAUACUACGUCCCAUCGCAUGGUGGGGGGUGGAAAGGGUUUUACUGGUUUUGGAUGGGCUCACGGCCUAUCAGCUUGUUGGUGGGGUAAUGGCUCACCAAGGCGACGACGGGUAGCCGGCCUGAGAGGGUGACCGGCCACACUGGGACUGAGACACGGCCCAGACUCCUACGGGAGGCAGCAGUGGGGAAUAUUGCACAAUGGGCGGAAGCCUGAUGCAGCGACGCCGCGUGAGGGAUGACGGCCUUCGGGUUGUAAACCUCUUUCAGUAGGGAAGAAGCGAGAGUGACGGUACCUGCAGAAGAAGCGCCGGCUAACUACGUGCCAGCAGCCGCGGUAAUACGUAGGGCGCAAGCGUUGUCCGGAAUUAUUGGGCGUAAAGAGCUCGUAGGCGGUUUGUCGCGUCUGCUGUGAAAGCCCGGGGCUCAACCCCGGGUCUGCAGUGGGUACGGGCAGACUAGAGUGCAGUAGGGGAGACUGGAAUUCCUGGUGUAGCGGUGAAAUGCGCAGAUAUCAGGAGGAACACCGAUGGCGAAGGCAGGUCUCUGGGCUGUUACUGACGCUGAGGAGCGAAAGCAUGGGGAGCGAACAGGAUUAGAUACCCUGGUAGUCCAUGCCGUAAACGUUGGGCACUAGGUGUG